rnacentral:rRNA from 1 species
UACGGGGGGGGCAAGCGUUGUUCGGAAUUACUGGGCGUAAAGGGCUCGUAGGCGGCCCACUAAGUCGGAUGUGAAAUCCCCAGGCUCAACCUGGGAACUGCAUCCGAUACUGGAUGGCUUGAAUCCGGGAGAGGGAUGCAGAAUUCCAGGUGUAGCGGUGAAAUGCGUAGAUAUCUGGAGGAAUACCGGUGGCGAAGGCGGCAUCCUGGACCGGCAUUGACGCUGAGGAGCGAAAGCUAGGGGAGCAAACAGG